rnacentral:rRNA from 1 species
ACUCCUACGGGAGGCAGCAGCGGGGAAUAUUGCACAAUGGGCGCAAGCCUGAUGCAGCGACGCCGCGUGAGGGAUGACGGCCUUCGGGUUGUAAACCUCUUUCAGUAGGGAAGAAGCGAAAGUGACGGUACCUGCAGAAGAAGCGCCGGCUAACUACGUGCCAGCAGCCGCGGUAAU